CGGCACGGGUGCGUAACGCGUGGGAAUCUGCCCUCUGGUACGGAAUAACUCAGGGAAACUUGAGCUAAUACCGUAUAAUGACUUCGGUCCAAAGAUUUAUCGCCUGAGGAUGAGCCCGCGUCGGAUUAGCUAGUUGGUGAGGUAAAAGCUCACCAAGGCGACGAUCCGUAGCUGGUCUGAGAGGAUGAUCAGCCACACUGGGACUGAGACACGGCCCAG
rnacentral:rRNA from 1 species